rfam:Triticum aestivum genome assembly, contig: Triticum_aestivum_CS42_TGACv1_scaffold_001623_1AL
AUAAAGUUCCCUCCGCCUGAAAAUACUUGUCCUACAAAUGGUUGUAUCUAGACUUAUUUUAGUUAUAGAUACAUUCAUUUUCAAUCAUUUCUAGGACAAGUAUUUCCGGACGGAGGGAGUACUAA